rnacentral:misc_RNA from 1 species
AACGCAUCUUGCGCUCCUUGGUAUUCCUUGGAGCAUGCCUGUUUGAGUAUCAUGAGAAAAACUCAAAGUCAAUUCCUUUUGGUUUUGCUUUGGACUUGGAGGUUCUUGCAGAUUUCACGUCUGCUCCUCUUAAAUGCAUUAGCUGGAUCUCAGUAUUAUGCUUGGUUCCACUUGGCGUGAUAAGUAUCACUCGCUGAGGACACUUGUAAAAAGGUGGCCAGGAAAAUACUGAUUGAACCGCUUCUAACGGUCUAUUAAGUUAGACAAUUACCCUUGUGUUUGAUCUCAAAUCAGGUAGGACUACCCGCUGAACUUAA